UGGUUGACCAAGGGUUUAGUAAUGAUUAUACACCAAGAGGUCUGGGGUUCAAAUCCCAGAUAAUGCCAUUUAUUAAUAAUUAUGCCAGAUCACCGUGAUUGUAGCUAUUGAAGAAGAAGAAAGUGUUCAAGAUCAACUUGGAGAAGGAGGUGACCAAGAUAAAUAUGGAGUGUUGUCAAUAGUGAAUCUAAUUGGGGUUGGAAGGAUAUUUUUACUUUGGUUGAUACAAUUCUUUAGUUAAGAGCCCUCAAUAAUUAUUGAGGCUACAAAAAAAAUUAUAUAACAAUGUUAGUGAAAUCAGAUAACAGUAAAAUCAAAAUACUUAUAAAUAAGAAAAAAAAC
rnacentral:lncRNA from 1 species